CCUACGGGGGGCUGCAGUAAGGAAUAUUGGUCAAUGGACGCAAGUCUGAACCAGCCAUGCCGCGUGGAGGAUGAAGGUCCUCUGGAUUGUAAACUUCUUUUAUUUGGGAAGAAACUCCCGAUUUCCAUCGGGAUUGACGGUACCAGAUGAAUAAGCACCGGCUCACUCCGUGCCAGCAGCCGCGGUAAUACGGAGGGUGCAGGCGUUAUCCGGAUUCACUGGGUUUAAAGUGUGCGUAGAAGGGCGUGGAGAAAUCGCCGGGCUUAACCCGGAAACUGCCAGUGAUACUAUUUGUCUUGAAUACUCUGGAGGUGAGCGGAAUAUGUCAUGUAGCGGUGAAAUGCUUAGAUAUGACAUAGAACACCCAUUGCGAAGGCAGCUCACUACGGAAAUAUUGACGCUGAGGCACGAAAGCGUGGGGAUCAAACAGGAUUAGAUACCCUUGUAGUC
rnacentral:rRNA from 1 species